rnacentral:lncRNA from 1 species
CUUUGGUGAGAGGGGAGGAAGGGUGAGUGGCAGCGCAUCGGCUUAAAUAGUCGUGGGGAUUGAGUGGGGGAGUGGAGGCGGGGAUGGGGAGCAGGUGGAUAAGACUGGAGGGAGCGGUGGGGCUGCGGGCCGGAGCUCCAUUGGCGGUGGGGCGCCAUAGGCCGAAGAGGCGGAGGCCGUGGGAUAGGAUCCCUCGGUCAUUGGCCUGGGGGAUUCGGAGCGUGCAAACGCGGCUUUGCCG